AGCAGUAAAUAACCACUAAAAUUAAUAAAACUAUUUACAAUUGAUAAAACGAGUAUGAAAUUAAUGAGAUUAUUUACAUGUGCAUGAUUGUUGAGUGUGGCUUAGAACUAUUUACAAAUACAUAUAGACUUAAUAAAAUACUAAAGUGUCUAUCAUGUACAACAUAAAAUAAAGUCAGAACAAUGAGCAUCAGCCAGUAAGGAAUUUAAGUCAAACUUUCUAAUACGCUGCCUAAAUUUCAAACUGCUCCCUCGCGGAUUUGAAUGCUUUUUGCCAAUCUUCUGUUAUUGUAGACAUCUUAUUUCCAACUCAAAAUAGAGUUGACGUUUAUAAAAAUGUAAAUGUUCUUGGGAAACCUGCACACAAUUAUUUUUAGCAUUACAUGACAGUUGUGUGAUUGCUUUCGCAAGAAUUAUUCAAUCAGAAAAUACAUAAGAAACUAGCCAAUCAAAAAUGGAUACACAAACUGCGGGAUAUCGGAACAAGCUUUUGGAAGCCGUUGUGCAGACGGACUAUACCGGCGGUUUAGACUGUCUGCGACGCAAGCUAGGAAUUGCUAUUUUCAGCCAUUUUCCAGUCAGUAUUUGGACCUAAAGUACAAUCGAACCUAUGACUAUUUUUACCAUGUUUAUGUUUAACAACCGUUCUUUAACUCAAAAUCUCAACGGCCUCAAUCAGAUAAUCUCUCCUAUCUUUAAUCUUCCUUUGAAUUUGGCGCAACCCUUAUCUUCUGCUGAAGAUGAGAAGACCUUGGCAGCUUUCCCCUGUCUCUCUUUUCCUUCCAUAAUGCCAUUUGUUGAUAAUACAGCUUCAUAUUCUUUUACUGGUGACCCACUAAUAAAAGUAUGAAGCAGAUGAUCGAAGAUCUCUUUCCUUUUUCCUUAAGCAUGUUUUUAGGUGUUUUAGGGCGCUGCUCACUCAGCUGAGAGUGAAAAAAAAUACUCAGCAAUGCCGGACUCGAUUUAUUCAAUGACCCGUUGACAUUGUGCAUGAGAGACAAAAACACAUUUAAACUCUGGAAAUGCAUCUUCACUUUGACUUAGAUGUUUAAAACAAUCACUGCAUUCUCAGUUCCGAAAUUCGUUGUCAGUCUAUGUUGCUAUGGGUGUCGCUUUCUCUAUUUUGCUGGAGUAGUCUGUCGUUCAUUGCCAAUUCAUAGCUCUCAUGCCGCCGUUUCAAGGCCAUGUCACUUGUCGGAAUUUACCCCUAGUAGGGUCUCUUUGUUUGGCUGAAUAUCGAUUUAUUUACGAGAAAAUCGAUAAUAACCGAAUUCCGUCAAAAUGCCACUUUUGGAGCUCAAAAUUUAAGAUGAAUCUUGAAGCUUUGCAUCACAAAAUCAAACAACCUAGACCAAUAGAAACUAUCAAAUCUUGAAAAUCAACAUCAAAACAUAUGUUGACAGCAAUUUGAGCAAUUCUUGUCAAUAGACCCUUCUCCAAAAUGGGGCCCGCCGAGAGAGGACUGGAAACUGGGGGUACGAAGUUUCAAUAUGGCGGAAGUGUAGAGAGAAAUGUGCUGCAGACUGGAAACUUCGAGAGAUCUAUUUUAGAGUUUGCAAAUAAGUGGCUCGAAAGCAAGAAGGGAAGGAAAAAAGGAGACAAGUACUACCUGGAAACAUACCUCGAGAACAUCAAAAUAUUGUUUUCUGAGGAUUGCUGCGUUGUAAAAGCAAGAUGUUAUCGCUCGAUGAGGAAAACCGAAGCACCACAUAAACUAAGAAUUGUAUUUGAUGGUUCCGAAGAAGACAGCAUUGAAGUUACCACUCAAUGUUCAUGUAAAGCUGGAACUGGGAAAUGCCAACAUUUAGCUGCUUUGUUUACACAUGUAACGGUAAAAUUACACGAUGACAACUCUCCAACCUCCCAUCCACAACAGUGGCAUAAACCUCGAGGUCCUUCGCUAGAGCCACAAAGAUGGUUUGCUUCCGAGUUUGUGAAACCAUAAAUAGAUCGAAAGCCUUGCGAAAUAGCACCUAAGACUGUACAGGAGUAUUUAUACGAUCCCAGACCUAUCAAACAACAGCUGAUUACCGAAAGACAUGUUCAACACCUUGGAGAAAACAUCUCAGUUGAGAGUCCUACCACUUAUGCUUCUUGGCUUUGAUACUCUAACUCAGCAACCCACAAGUCCCUUCCAUGGGGGAAUUCUUUAGAAGGCUGUCCUUUAGCAAAUCAGUUAAGGGAUAUAUAUCCUCCGAGCUUUGUAGAUACUGUUUACAGUGAGGACCUUGAGGCAGUGUUUGACUUUCCCGUAGAAAUUACUUUACCAGAACAUGUUAGGAAAGGGCCACCACCAACAGUGCCAGAAGAAGAAAAACCCUUCCUAUCAAAUGUCAUGUUAUCUCAAGAAAAAGUGUUGGAAAUUAAGAAGAAUACGAGAAGUCAGUCCAGUUGCUCAACUUGGCACCAAGAGCGAGCAUUCAGAAUAACUGCUUCAAGAUUCGGUGAAGUUGUUUCUAGAAAAGCACCAGUUAAUGAUAGGUUCUUACAUACUUUAUUUUCAUCAACAAAGGUGCAGACUGAGGCCAUGAAAUAUGGUCUAGACAUGGAACCAAUGGUUGUCAAAGAGUUCAAGGAAUUAUCAGGCCCUCAAGUAGAAGUUUUCAAAUGUGGGUUGUUGAUUCAUCCUGACAUUUACUGGAUGGGUUGUUCGCCUGAUGGUAUUAUUUAUGAUCCUAAUGAGAAUCCAUCGGUUGGAAUUCUGGAAAUUAAGAGCUUGUUUUCGAUAAAGGGAAAGUCAAUUGAGGAAUGCUUAGAACUUAAAAGGGACAUUUGUAUUCAUCGAGAUAAAAAUGGAGAAAUAAGACUCAAACAUAACCAUAAGUAUUACUUUCAGCUACAAGGC